AUGAAAACAUAUUUAAUAAUUAACAUUGAAUUUAGUCUUACACAAUAUAUGGUUAAGUACAAAUGAGAUCAGAUCUUUCAGUAAAUUUUUAAACAUUUGAGUCAGUUGAGUCAACGCGAUUAAAGCUGACAACAACUCUUAUGAUCGUCAGUUUGCAAGGCAAUACUAUGUAUCGAAUAUAUCGAAUCGAUUGAUAUCAAAUAUCUCAAGCAUGAAUCGAUAAUUUCAAUUUUAUUUUGCAUGCCGUUAUAUAUAUGAAUGAAAGGAAUUAGUUUAUAUAAUUUUGGACAGUUACCUUUCGAUUAACUCUAAGGAUAAAAAAUUUCUUCACAAUCUUGAACAUUGACAUAUACAAGCGUAGAAAUGGAACUGUCUUAAUGGUUCUGACAAUUGCUUAUUGAUCUAUUGAAUUAUGUAAUCGGUAAGAGAUAAUCGAUUAUAUUAAUUUAUCGACAUCUUCCAACCACUCUGGUACUUCUCUCAUGAAAAUGUUCAUACUUCCAUAAUCCGUAACCAAAGAUGACACAAAUAUCCUUUGACCAGAUGUCGACGCUUAAAACGAACAGAAAUGAUCGACGCAAAAGGAGAACAUCUUUAAUACACUGAAGAUUUUCCAGAUCCACUUGAACACCUUAUUUUUCUCUUUGAUUUUCUUUAAGCAAGAGUAAGGAAAAAAGGUCUAUAGAUGGAAGAAGAGAAAAAAGAAAAAUAUAACAUUGAGGAUAGAAAGAAGUGAAAGAAGAAGAGGAAAGAGAGGAGGUCGUAUUCGAUUCUUGAUCCACCGAUUACUAGUUAUUUUACUCUGUUUAAAAUCGGCAAUCCCAGCAAUAUGCAUAUAAGCUCAGUUCCUACUAACACAAGUUGGUGAUAGAGAUGGUAAACGCGCGAGCAGCCACAUAUUUCUACUUUGUUCUUGUUUCUUUUUUCAUUUUUUAGCCAAGCGUUGUAGUUGUAUUCCUGACUGAUUAUCGCAUUACUUUAUUAUCUAUCACUACUACUUAUUACUACUAUCGUUAUCCACGUUAUUGACAAGAAAUCCACUUACAGUGAUAGGGACCUAAGUUUAGUUUUAAAUCUUGAGAAGAGGUGAACAUGAAACUCACUGAUCUCAAAUUAUCUUCUUCUUUGGUUUCUUUUUAAAAUUUACCUUUGAAAUUAACCUUCUUACUUUUUUAGCGCUAAAUAUAUAUUCCGUGUAUUAUAUUUAUUUCUCAUUUAAAUGUAAGUUAAUAAAAAUACAAUAUACAUAUGAAAAUGCAAAGUAUACGUUAAGGGAUGCACUUACCGGCUCGUGAAGAAGCUCGUGAUUCACUAAGGAAAAGCAGAAAAAAUAUGUUAGCAAAAAAGGUUGCUGAGUUCUUUAUAAAAUUGUAGAAACAUCUCUAGUAAUAUUGAACACAUUAUCUUUUGUUACAUUAAAUGAGAUAAUAUGGUAUUUCGCUGCAUAUCAAUUUCUCAUUUCUCUUUCGAGCACAAUCAAACAAAAUUUAUAAAAUGAUCUUUAAAAAGAAGAUAUUGGUAUCAAAAUAUAUUUUACAGGAAUAAAAAAGAUGAUAUUCAAAUACUUCUUUAAUUGAAGUUGAUAAAAAAAAAUAAUGUAUAUAAUAAAAAAUAUAUGAAUGUUUAAAAUAUAGAAUGAGGAAUCAUAAUUUAUGAGCAGAGGUAAAAGCUCUAUUCGUAUUCGAUUAUAAAGACAAAACCAAAGGAAUGCACAUUUUUUAAUAUAUUUUACAAAACGUUCUAUUCGUACAGCAUAUAAAACAAUACUCUGUAUUUAUUUUAUAUUCACACAUUAGCUCUAUACGACUGUACCACCA